GGGGGAACUGCAGCCACUUGGGGCCCUGGGUGCAUCUUCCCAGCCCUCUGGUUUGCUCUCACAACAGGAGCAGAGAAGGAACCUCCACCCUAAGGAAACUGCACUAUUUUCUAAGUGAAGGCUUGACCCAAGACUCCAGGGAGAUUUUUCAGAAUUUAAACCAGGCCAAGCAAUGUCGAUGUACCAGAAGGAAGAACCACAGCUAAGAGUUCAAGCUCAGCUGACAUGCUUUGAAGAUGCAGAUUCAGAACCCCAAGUUACCAGAUGGGAUUAGGAGUGAAGACCUGAUCUUCAGCCUUCCUGUUCCACCUCCCCGCUGGUACAACAGCAAAGCCACCAGAUGCUGCACCAGCCCCAGUCUGCUCAAACCAGGGCAGUGGAGCCAAAAGCAAUUCAUGAGUACAGUUAUGAAAGAAGUUUUCAAUAUAGCUGCAAUCUCUCUCCACUCUCAGCAAGCCCAGCGCCACCAGCCAUGAAAGCCAAACCUGUCUGUCAUUCACUCGCACUGAGGAUUACCCACAGCUGCCUGGAAACUGCUCCUCUCCUCCUCCCUCUCACCCCAUCCUCUCUAAUAGUGUUUGCCUCUUCCCUUGCUCUGCUACUCAUUUGGAGAAAUUAAUUCCUUUUUAGCUCCACAUCAUUUCAAGAACCUUUUCAUUUGUCACACUCUGCCCACCACACAGUUUGUUGCUCUCUGGGAGCAGCAGGGACCUGCACAGCUCCUUACACACAGCUUUUACAGGCUUGGCUGUUUUCUCCUGAACCAAGGCAAAACCACCCAAAGCCUUCAAAGCUCCAGGUGCCCAGCCCAGCUGCACACUCCCACGAUGGACACAAGCCCUGGGAGCCCUCUGCUGUUUUCAUUUGGCUACUCUGAUCUCUGACUUUUCCUUCUAAAAGAGAUUCCCAUUCAGGAAUGCCUCUUGUGAAGUGGUUUUUCCUCAGUUCCCUUCCCUGACUGAUCCAGGUCACUACAGAGCUGCUGCCAGCAGGGGAACACCUCACUGAUGUGGCAGAGCCAGGGUCUGACCUGGAGGCUUUGGAGCUGGACAGGAGAGCAAGGGAGGAGGAACCCACACAGUCCUGGGGCUGACAGCCUUCCUGAGCCCAGUGACACCUUGGAGCUGGACACAGAGCUCAGGGACUGCCCUUCCUGAACUGCCAGGACACACUCACCUGUUGGGAACACACCUGCAAAGGACAUUACCUGCCUGUAAAAAUAAAAAGAAAAAAAAAAAUUAAAAACA
rnacentral:lncRNA from 1 species